CCGCUGCAUCCGGUUCUCAGGUCCCCUCUCCCCGACCCUGGCGACCUGCAGAUUCCACGACCUCUGCCUCCCCAGGGAAGCUCUGGGCUCAGGAGUCACAGCACCGUCAGUCACAGCACCGACUACUUUCUGCUUCAGAAGAGCACCGCACUAGGAAGGUCAUAAUCCUAAGACUUUGGUGACCCCAGCUGUUUGCCGACCUUUUGGGACUUGGCGUCAGCACAAUGCAGCUUCAAAGAAACCCAGACAAGUUUAGAAGGGUCUGGAACAUGCGGGGUAAGCACUCUACUACUUAGCUGUGGCCUUAGCCCAGGCCUGGAUUCCCAGUUGCUGUGUUCAGUGCUGGAACAGCAUCUGGCCUGCAGUUUCCUCUCUGCAAGAUUGCGCUGAAGGUGGCAAGGGAGCAAGCUGCGUGGUCCUGGGAGGCACCAUCUAGCAAGGGGAUGUGAAAGGACAAAGGCUCUGAGAUGCAGUGUUCCUCGCUCAGUUCAGGAAAACCAGGGAUGACCUGGCCUUUUCCAUGUUCCGUUCUUUCCUCUUUAUAUCAUAACUGUUCUUAAAGACUUGUUUCGUUAACUAUCUAGUGCCCGUUUCUCCAUUAGACUCUUGAAUAUCCUGGUACUAAGGCUGGGCUUGGUUCUUAGCUAAAUUCUCAUCACAGGGCUUGGCACACAGUAGGUGCCUAGCCAUGUUUGCUGAAUAAAUCCAUGAUGACUGGGAAAACAACAACAACAACACAACAAUAGCAACAACAACAACACAACAGCAAACCAACCCCAUCUCUCACAGUUGCCCCGGAGAAGGGAGGCAGAGGAAGAGGUCACAGUGCCUGUGUGUGUUUGCACUGCUGGGCUGUGCUGAGCGGGAAGGCCCAGCCUCAUGAUCCUAGCCACUUUCCAUUUUGUUGUCGGACUAGGGGCUUUCUCUUCACCGCCUGCACCCCCAAACACGGUGCCUGUAUGAUCCUCUCUUAAUCUCUCUUUCUGACCCUCUCCUGCAUGUAUAUAACAGAUUCUGGUCACUUCACCCCCGUUACCCUCUCUUGCUCCCUUCUCACACCUACAGAUCUCGCCUCUUUCCAGUUGUCUCCUGCCAUCCCCAACUUAUCCCGCCACAUGGAUCUUGGGCACUACCUGGUCAUUAAAAGGAAGUUAAUUUUUGUAUGUGUGUAUGUGUAAAUGUAUGUGUGAAUGUGUGUAUGCUUAUGUGCAUGUAUGUGUAUAUGUGUGUGAAUAUGCAUGUAUUUGUGUGAGUUUGUGUAUGUGUGUAUGAGUUAGUGUAUGUAUGAAUGUAUGUAUUAGUGUGUGUAUGUGUGUGUGUGAGUGUGUAUAUGUGUGAAUUAUGUAUGUGUAUGUGUGAAGGUGUGUGUGAGUGUGUAUGUGUGAGUGUGUGUGUGUGAAUGUAUGUGUGUGUAUAUGUGAUGUGUAUGUACGUGUGACUGUGUAUAUGUGUAUAUGUAUGUAUGUGUAAAUAUUUGUAUAGUAUGUAUAUAUGUGUGCAUGUGUAUAUAUGUAUGUAUGUGUGACUAUGUGUAUAUGUAUGUAUGUGUGACUGUUUAUAUGUAUAUAUGUAUGUGUGAAUGUGUAUAUAUGUAUGUAUGUGUGACUAUGUGUAUAUGUAUGUAUGUAUGUAUGUGAAUGUGUAUAUAUGUAUGUGUGAACGUGUGCACUUGUGGAGAUGGGAGGGCGACUUGUGGGAGUCAGUUCUCUUCUCCCCGUGUGGAUUCUGAGAACUGAACUCAAAUGGUCAGGUUUGGGGACAAUCCUGUACUUCAAGAUCUGUCUAGUUACCUAUUUAAUGUCUGUUUCUCUACCAGACUCUACCUGUUGAGCCAUCUUUCUGGGGUCUUUAAAAUGACCUCACAUUUGCCACUGGGGUUUUUUAGAAGGUCUCCCAUGUUUUUAUCAAGGAUUACCUUUUGCCAGGUCCAUAAUCCAAGCUACUCCAGAUUCUGAGGCUGGAUACUUGCCAAAUUUAAAACCUGCCUGGGUUGCAGAAUGAGUUCAAGGUCAGUUUAGACAACGGAAUGAGACUCUGUCUCAAAGUCAAGGGAAAAGAGGAAUCAAGCAGGCUAAACUCAGCGGCAGGGGGCUUGCUGGGCACACAAGGCCACGUGUCCUGGUGUCACACAUACUCAGCGGCAGGGGGCUUGCUGGGCACACAAGGCCACGUGUCCUGGUGUCACACAUGCACAGGUCAUCUCUUCAAUCUAAUACUGCAGGUUGUGUAGUGAAUGCUACACCCCAGCCAGCUUGCUAGAAGGCCAGAAAACAUUGCCGAUAAGGUGACAGGGUCUCUGAAGGUCUGAUUUGCAGGAGGAGGCUCGUUUGGGUAGUUUGGAGGGUUCCUAGAGUAGAGGGAGUGGGGAUGCAGCUUCAUUUAGUGUACUCUGUGUGGGUGGCAUUGUUGGCCACGUCCCUCAGAUGCCAGAGUGAGCCCAGAGUGGCCUGAGCUCAGCUGGUGCAAUCUCUCUGGUUACCCAAGGAAGCAUGGUCUAUGCCUGCCCCACGCCCUCAGAGCCCGAGAACGCUAGGGCAAAGCCAAGCCUCUGGUCCCGUGACCCUGAAGCUUCCUGUGAAUCUCAUGUUCAUUACAUCACAGGUAUGGGGAAGCUCCAUGGAUGAGGAUUUGAUGCCAGGCUUGGUGUGACCUCUGUCCUCUUUCAACACAAAGGGAGGAAGGGGCAGUAGAUCUCAGUCCCCAUAGGACCUCAGGGAUGGAUUUAAGCAAGGCCCACUGAGGCGGCAGGUAGGAAGGCCCCAGGCCUUUUAUCCCCCUCUCUUUAAAAUUUUUUAUCAAUUAUUUUAAAACUUCAUAUGAAAGUACUGUGUCUUUAUCACUUCUGGGUCUCCUAUUCCCUCUCCAGCAACUCCCAUGUCACCCUCCAAAUUUAUGAUCACUAUAAUAAUAAUAAUAAUAA